ACGUCCACCAAAACGGGUUAGUCGAGCCACGCGGGCGUGGGUUAGUGGGCGCAGAGCGGGGUGAGGGUGGGGUCGGCGGUUUGCUUGGGAUCGGGAGAAAGAGAAAGGGGAGCUAGGGGUGCUCGGCGGCGUGGGGAGGGAGCUAGGGGUGGUAGCAGAGGAGCGGUCGUCGGAGGCCGGCUGGAGCAGAGAGGUGAGCGGAGGAGGAGAGGAGAUAGUACAGCGGCAGCUAGGGUGACGGUCGGAAGAGGAGACGAACGGAGGAGGACAGGAGAAGGUACAGUGGCAGCUAGGUCUAGCCUGCAUCCAGCAGAAGCGCUACACCCACGCCUACAUCCCCUCCACAUCCUACGCCUGCUGUUCCCUUCCUCCUCCGGCCGCUCCUUCCGUUCGUGUCGCCCCCUCCUCUUCCACUCGCUAGGAUCGUACCCCUUCCCCGUCCCACUCCGGAGCGAGUGGACAGCCGUCGGCUCAACAACGCGGUGGCGCAGCAGUGGAGGAGACGUGGUACUCUCCGCGGUGGAGACGGAGGUGGGGGGGUGACCCGUUCCUCGAGCUCCGUCCGCCAGACCCUUCCGGUCUCCUUGGUCCUCGAGUAGGGAGGAGGGUACCGACGGAGCACCUAGACCUCCACGGACAACGUCCGCCGCGCUCGCUACGUUCGGCCGCCGCUUGAUCCAGGUACCUGUAACAGUAUUACCAGUGGAAUAGCGUCACAUAAUAAAAACCUAGAGUAUAAGGAGUUCCGCGAGGUAGGAGACUAAGUUACAGACUGCUAGAUUCUUUAUUCUCCUCCUUAUUAGAUCGUCUUCUUAAACCACUUCUUCUUGUUCUUUUCUUAUGGAAAUAGGACUAUCCGUACCUUUGUGGCCAAGCGUAACUCACGUAGUAGCGAUUAGUCGAUGAUACAUACCAGUCGCCUGUACGAACGAAUAAGGACAUUGUAUAGUAAUGAGAUAGACGAAUCGGAAAGAUUGAAAAUUCUAAACUAGUUAAGAAAUCUUCAAGUAUGUCUAGACCUUCAUAAACCAAAACAACCAGUUUAGGCAAUGUACAUACAGGAACAAAUAAAAUAACAAGCUUGUUCUAUAGUCUAGUGGAUGUAAGUAAUAAGAACUAAUGUCAGAGCAUGAUUUCAUUAGAUUUUACCAGGCUUAUCAACAUCAUUAAGUAUUUAUAAAAGUCACAUCAAGAAUAAACCAAAGAUCCGUAUCUAAAAUGAAGUUUUAAAACUAGAAAUAAACCAAUCAUUCCGAGAUCUUAUUUUGUCUGGUUACUAUAUAUAUGUUUAUCUGUGUUAUCCUCAAUUGACCAUGGAUCGAAAACUUUGGAGACUAUAUAUGUUUUAUAAUAAACUCAUCUUGUCCUCUCUACGUUAGAAUACCUAUAAAGACGUAAACAUUCUUUGAAAGGUCGAACCGUUCUCCCGAACUGAUCGGUACACAUCCUGAGUCGGUACGACGGAAGGUUUACUAAUCAGUAACCACAAAAGAAUACAAGGACAAUCGGGUUCACGUUGUCUAUUCAUCUGACAAUACAACUUUUUUCCUUUCUCUGAUGAGAAAACAAUGAAUGUCAUGUCUAUAUUCGAUAUUGUAGUCUCUCGUUACCUAUAUCUUCUUUAUACAUUUGUCAACAGGGAUCUUCUUUAUACGUUGAUGAAUAAGUCCAAUGCAUUAAUUAUUGCGUAGAUAUAGUAAUGUAUGUGAAUGACUUACACGGAAAACUCUCACUCGAAGACAGUCAUGGAGUGUGAAUAGAAUAUACGGUAAGGUUGAUAGACAACGUCAUCUCUCGUUCCCUGUAUAUUCUUUAGAGGUCCAUCGAAGUGAAUCUACGUAGUAGAAGACGAUCCUCAGUCGAACUUCUUGCUGGAAGAGUCCAAUUAAGAACCCAGUCACAAAGCCGAAAAGAGGUAACCAAGCAUUUUUGGCGUACCUCUGACGUUGACUGUACGACCUACCCCUUAUUGGUUUAAACACCUGUUUCUGUUUCUCAAGUAGCGUUCCCCACCACAAAUCCUAUAUAUGUGUUUUCUCCUUUGAAAAAAAACAUGUCUUGGUUUAAUAUACUACAUUAACUGGUGAUAAAGAUUCUUUACAAGUAGUACAUAAUUCAUGUAAAAUAACACAGUGAAGAAAACUCCCUAUCGAAAUAAGUAGUUUGUAGUGUUUCACACACUAUCUCAAGUAGUUUGGUCCGAAAUAACACAGUGGAUACAAAUGGAAACAAAAAUGCCACAGCGGAUACAAAUGGAAGAAAAAUCGCAUUCGAUAAACCUGAAAGAUUAACGUCCGAGUCAAUAAACUGGGUGG
rnacentral:rRNA from 1 species